rnacentral:ribozyme from 1 species
GAGCGAAUUCAAAGAAGCAGAAGACAAAGUGCAAGCUGACUGACCAGUUGAUAUCGACAACAUUGCAGUAUCUUUUAUUUAUUUAUUUAUUUAUUUAUUUGUUUGUUUGUUUGUUUGUUUAUUUAUUUAUGGAAUGCUGGUUGCUGGCUAAAAAGACUUUGCGGCGGCCGAUGCGCUGGGAAGGUUGUUUUUGAAAUUUUGUUCUCAGAGGGCAGUUUGAAUGUGCAAUGCAGACAAAGAGCUAAAAUACUUCAUCAAAAUUAAUUACAAUUU